UGGAAAGGCCGGACUGUGGCUUGGGGCAGCGUGCACAGCCUCAGGCUCCUUAGGCUUUGUGACCUUGCGCGGGUCGCCUCACCCCCGUGAACUUCUCCGCUGACAAACCUGCAAAGUGGGAUGCUGACGUGCAAGCUGGUGCCAAAGCGUAAAGCUCGUGCCCCUCCCGCACCGGCCUUCAAUAGACGGCCUCUGUUUCGUUUGCUGGCUCCGGAUAGACUUGAGACCUGGUGGCCAAGCCCGCUGGCAUCCCCUGUGAGCCAGCUUCUCUGUCUAAUCUGAGAAUAAGCGAGGCUGGAAUUCCUGGAGGAAGGUUCUCCAGGUUCCCUUUGUCGAAGGACAGAUUUACCCUGACCGCAGCUACUAUAGGAGAAUCUGAAACAUGUGCCAGUGUCUUGGCCUGAAAGUGAAGGGUUGGGGGGGGGGCCUCCCCAAAUGGCCUUCACGUUGGGCUUUUUCUUCCUCCGGCACUGGGGAUGCCAGGACCUGAGCCCACAGCGCUAGCUGUAAGCCAGAGCCCCGGAUGUGAUGAGUGCGCAGAUUUUGGUGUUGGUGCUCCUAAAUAGCCUUCUGAGAGCGAGCGGGGGUCCUGAAGACACCCUAACGUCUGAGCCUAGCGCGACCCCGUUAGGUGAGGAGGUUUUCACUGCCCUUAGAGUUUCGGGAAGGGAAGGUGAAGUGUACGUCGAGGAAAUCAGGAAGGACGAGCUCUCCGUUCUUUCUUCCUUGCACCGCCCCGUAAGCGUGGUGGAGGGUGGUCCUGCCAGGAAAGCAUCCUCCAGGAAGCUCCUAGGAAGGAAGGCUCCCGGGCCUCCUAUCGGGUGCCCUGAAGCGGCAUCUGUCUUUUAAGAGCCCCCUGCUCCCCCCUCCCCCCCAUUUCUAUGCACCCUGAAGCUUGGGAAACCCUGGUGUAGCUGGUGGGGUGAUCUGGCUCCAGGUGACGCGGUAGCAUUGCCAGUUCCCGGAGAGACAAAGUCCCCAGAGCCAGAGGCUGGGGCGGUGGUGAGACGGCCACUCUUGCCUGUGUGUGAGCACUGUCGGCAGGCUGAUUCAGAGCGCGCUGAAAACUCGGUCACUGGGCAGCCUGGAUGAGCAGCAUGACCACGGGAGCCUUCGCUUAAAGGAAACCUGAGAUCCCACGCUGUUACCACACCUGCUGGGGCACGUGGCCGGAUGUGGGAGCCCCUCAGUUGGGAAGUUUACAUCGCCUCAGUCCCAGCAGACCGCACUAAGGAUAGCUGUUCUUCUGGUGGAGAGAACAGAGGAUUGGUCAGCUAUACGUCUGGAUCCGUCUCUGGUCCGACCACUGAUCACUGAUGAGGCUCUUCAGCAGUUCGAACGAGAGAGGCCAGGCUGCCAAGGCGUACUGAGCAUGUGUCGCGCCCUCGGGGAUUUAUACAUCUGUAGAAUAUUACCACCGAAGGCAAGUGAAGACAUGAUCUCCAAACCCAGCUUUUUCAGGUAUCCUGGCAUCGGCAGAGUUCUCUUCCCCUCGUCUUUGGGAAGUUUCGCAAGCUGGGCCCCUCCUGUGUGUAGCCAACAAUGAUGUUUUGUGUCUUCAUCCCGUUUGAAGGGCCUGGCACGCAAACAGCCCAGCCUAUUCAUUCCUAGAGCAAUUGUACAUAUGCAAGACCGAAGCCAAGAUUAAUGUCUUCAUCCUCGACGUGCUCAUUCAGACACGUUCUGGUUUUGCAGUGUGCUUGCAAGGAGCCCCUUAUUCAAGCAGACCAAGAAAACGUGAGACUUUCUACACGUGUAUUCACCUCACAACCAACAUGUCAAUGCAUGGAUGGUUUUAUUUCUGGUGACCAGCAAAAUAGACGAAAGGAAGAACGGUGAUUAUCAGAAGGCAAGCCAGUGAUUGUUCAAAGCCAGCUGUGUUUGUGUGUCCACCACCAUGCUGAAAGAUCGUUCUGGAGGCUGGACGUCCCAGAUCACGGGCCCAGUACAUUCAGUACUGGGUGAAGACCCGCUUCCUGGUUCAAGGACGUCUGUCUUCUCACUGCGCCCUCACGGAGGAAGACAUAAAUAAAUAUUGACGUGAAAUGACCAGUCUAAGAGGCGUGAUCUCUGUUGGCCAUUUGGAUGAGAAGGUAGGUCUUUUGUUAUCUGCACACUACAGUAUAAUUAAGUAAAGAAAUAGUAACUUUACAUACAGACCUCUGUUAAUCACUCUGUCAAUGGUAGAAC